AUGUUGUCUUCACAUCCUAAGCAUUGGAUAAAAGAGAAACUUUACAACCAAAACAUUGUUUCUAAACCUAAACCCUCCAAAACAGAUCCAAGACCAAUCCUGCUUCACAAUGCUUGCAGCCUGCAGUAUGCAAUACCUUACAUAUCACCAAUUGAAACUAUAAGCCCUGCAUCAAACAUUAAACCAACUCCAUGCCUGCACUCACUAAAAUAA